rnacentral:rRNA from 1 species
GGGUUGUGAGGUUAAGCGACUAAGCGUACACGGUGGAUGCCUAGGCAGUCAGAGGCGAUGAAGGGCGUGCUAAUCUGCGAAAAGCGUCGGCAAGGUGAUAUGAACCGUUACACCCGACGAUACCCGAAUGGGGAAACCCAGUGCAAUACGUUGCACUAUUUCAUGGUGAAUACAUAGCCAUGAAAGGCGAACCGGGGGAACUGAAACAUCUCAGUACCCCGAGGAAAAGAAAUCAACCGAGAUUCCCCCAGUAGCGGCGAGCGAACGGGGAGGAGCCCAGAACCAUCAUCAGUUUGUGUGUCAGUGGAAGCGUCUGGAAAGUCGCGCAACAAAGGGUGAUAGUCCCGUACACGAAGAUGCACAUGCUGUGAGUUCGAUGAGUAGGGCGGGACACGAGAUAUCCUGUCUGAAGAUGGGGGGACCAUCCUCCAAGGCUAAAUACUCCUGACUGACCGAUAGUGAACCAGUACCGUGAGGGAAAGGCGAAAAGAACCCCGGCGAGGGGAGUGAAACAGAACCUGAAACCGUGUACGUACAAGCAGUGGGAGCCUUGAUUUAUCAGGGUGACUGCGUACCUUUUGUAUAAUGGGUCAGCGACUUAUAUUCUGUAGCAAGGUUAACCGCAUAGGGGAGCCGUAGGGAAACCGAGUCUUAACUGGGCGUCAAGUUGCAGGGUAUAGACCCGAAACCCGGUGAUCUAGCCAUGGGCAGGUUGAAGGUUGGGUAACACUAACUGGAGGACCGAACCGACUAAUGUUGAAAAAUUAGCGGAUGACUUGUGGCUGGGGGUGAAAGGCCAAUCAAACCGGGAGAUAGCUGGUUCUCCCCGAAAGCUAUUUAGGUAGCGCCUCGUGAACUCAUCUGCGGGGGUAGAGCACUGUUUCGACUAGGGGGUCAUCCCGACUUACCAACUCGAUGCAAACUGCGAAUACCGUAGAAUGUAAUCACGGGAGACACACGGCGGGUGCUAACGUCCGUCGUGAAGAGGGAAACAACCCAGACCGCCAGCUAAGGUCCCAAAGUCAUGGUUAAGUGGGAAACGAUGUGGGAAGGCCCAGACAGCCAGGAUGUUGGCUUAGAAGCAGCCAUCAUUUAAAGAAAGCGUAAUAGCUCACUGGUCGAGUCGGCCUGCGCGGAAGAUGUAACGGGGCUAAACCAUGCACCGAAGCUGCGGCAGCGAACGUAUCACUUAAAACGCUUAACGUGACGGCGAAGCCGGCACGUUCAAGCCACAAAAACGUUGAGUCGGCCUGAGCGCUGACAGACGGCAAGGCGUUUUAAGGAUACGUUCGUUGGGUAGGGGAGCGUUCUGUAAGCCGUAGAAGGUGGCCUGUGAGGGCUGCUGGAGGUAUCAGAAGUGCGAAUGCUGACAUAAGUAACGAUAAUGCGGGUGAAAAACCCGCACGCCGGAAGACCAAGGGUUCCUGUCCAACGUUAAUCGGGGCAGGGUGAGUCGACCCCUAAGGCGAGGCCGAAAGGCGUAGUCGAUGGGAAACGGGUUAAUAUUCCCGUACUGGUUGUUACUGCGAAGGGGGGACGGAGAAAGCUAGGUUGGCCGGGCGACGGUAGUCCCGGUUUAAGCGUGAAGGUGGGUGUUUUUGGAAAAUCCGGAACACCGUUAACACUGAGGCGUGACGACGAGUCACUACGGUGACGAAGUAACCGAUGCUACGCUUCCAGGAAAAGCCUCUAAGCACCAGGUAACAGUCAAUCGUACCCCAAACCGACACAGGUGGUCAGGUAGAGAAUACUCAGGCGCUUGAGAGAACUCGGGUGAAGGAACUAGGCAAAAUGGUGCCGUAACUUCGGGAGAAGGCACGCUGGAUUUGGUGAAGUCCCUUGCGGAUGGAGCUGAGACCAGUCGCAGAUACCAGCUGGCUGCAACUGUUUAAUAAAAACACAGCACUGUGCAAACACGAAAGUGGACGUAUACGGUGUGACGCCUGCCCGGUGCCGGAAGGUUAAUUGAUGGGGUCAGCCUUAGGGCGAAGCUCUUGAUCGAAGCCCCGGUAAACGGCGGCCGUAACUAUAACGGUCCUAAGGUAGCGAAAUUCCUUGUCGGGUAAGUUCCGACCUGCACGAAUGGCGUAAUGAUGGCCAGGCUGUCUCCACCCGAGACUCAGUGAAAUUGAACUCGCUGUGAAGAUGCAGUGUACCCGCGGCAAGACGGAAAGACCCCGUGAACCUUUACUAUAGCUUGACACUGAACCUUGAGCCUUGAUGUGUAGGAUAGGUGGGAGGCUGUGAAGCGUGGACGCCAGUCUGCGUGGAGCCGACCUUGAAAUACCACCCUUUGAUGUUUGAUGUUCUAACGUGGGCCCGUAAUCCGGGUUGCGGACAGUGUCUGGUGGGUAGUUUGACUGGGGCGGUCUCCUCCCAAAGCGUAACGGAGGAGCACGAAGGUUAGCUAAUCCUGGUCGGACAUCAGGAGGUUAGUGCAAAGGCAUAAGCUAGCUUGACUGCGAGAGUGACGGCUCGAGCAGGUGCGAAAGCAGGUCUUAGUGAUCCGGUGGUUCUGAAUGGAAGGGCCAUCGCUCAACGGAUAAAAGGUACUCCGGGGAUAACAGGCUGAUACCGCCCAAGAGUUCAUAUCGACGGCGGUGUUUGGCACCUCGAUGUCGGCUCAUCACAUCCUGGGGCUGAAGUAGGUCCCAAGGGUAUGGCUGUUCGCCAUUUAAAGUGGUACGCGAGCUGGGUUUAGAACGUCGUGAGACAGUUCGGUCCCUAUCUGCCGUGGGCGUUGGAAGAUUGAGAGGGGUUGCUCCUAGUACGAGAGGACCGGAGUGAACGCACCACUGGUGUACGGGUUGUGAUGCCAAUUGCAUUGCCCGGUAGCUAAGUGCGGAAGAGAUAACCGCUGAAAGCAUCUAAGCGGGAAACUUGCCUCGAGAUGAGUCUUCCCUGGGACUUCGAGUCCCCUGAAGGGCCGUUGAAGACGACGACGUAGAUAGGCCGGGUGUGUAAGCGCAGCGAUGCGUUGAGCUGACCGGUACUAAUGACCCGAGAGGCUUAACCUUACAACACCGAAGGUGUUU